AGUGAACGCUGGCGGUAGGCCUAACACAUGCAAGUCGAACGGCAGCACAGUAAGAGCUUGCUCUUACGGGUGGCGAGUGGCGGACGGGUGAGGAAUACAUCGGAAUCUACUUUUUCGUGGGGGAUAACGUAGGGAAACUUACGCUAAUACCGCAUACGACCUACGGGUGAAUGCAGGGGAUCUUCGGACCUUGCGCGAUUGAAUGAGCCGAUUUCGGAUUAGCUAGUAGGCGGGGUAAAGGCCCACCAAGGCGACGAUCCGUAGCUGGUCUGAGAGGAUGAUCAGCCACAAUGGAGCUGAGACACGGUCCAGACUCCUACGGGAGGCAGCAGUGGGGAAUAUUGGACAAUGGGCGCAAGCCUGAUCCAGCCAUACCGCGUGGGUGAAGAAGGCCUUCGGGUUGUAAGCCCUUUUGUUGGGAAAGAAAAGCAGCAGGUUAAUACCCCGCUGUUCUGACGGUACCCAAAGAAUAAGCACCGGCUAACUUCGUG
rnacentral:rRNA from 1 species